AAUGGGCGCAAGCCUGACCCAGCAACGCCGCGUGAGGGAAGAAGGUCUUCGGAUUGUAAACCUCUGUCCUUGGGGACGAAAGAAAUGACGGUACCCAAGGAGGAAGCUCCGGCUAACUACGUGCCAGCAGCCGCGGUAAUACGUAGGGAGCGAGCGUUGUCCGGAAUUACUGGGCGUAAAGGGUGCGUAGGUGGCGCUGCAAGUCAGAUGUGAAAUCCCCGGGCUUAACUCGGGGGGUGCAUUUGAAACUGCGGUGCUUGAGUGCAGGAGAGGAAAGCGGAAUUCCUAGUGUAGCGGUGAAAUGCGUAGAUAUUAGGAAGAACACCAGUGGCGAAGGCGGCUUUCUGGACUGUAACUGACGCUAAGGCGCGAAAGCGUGGGGAGCAAA
rnacentral:rRNA from 1 species